AAGAAUAAUUUGCCUACCCUUUCCGGCAGAACAAACCGACCAAGGUCCCACUUGAAUAUGGACCUUAAAAACCUUCUUCACGGCCGACCAAGGUCCCACUUGAAUAUGGACCUUAAAAACCUUCUUCACGGUAGAAGAUUCUUAUUACUUCAUCAUUUACAUUAGAGGCAACCUUUAGAGACAAACAAUCUGUCAUGCUGAAUUCAGUCAAAAAAUGUGCCCUACAUGCUACAACUAGUCCCCAGGCUGUUGGUUAUGCUGUGCUGUAAUCAAAUAGUUCCACGGGGGAGAAAGAAAAUACUAAACCUGACAGCUGACGGAAUUUCCGGUAUGUGUUGCUAUAUAUGGAUAACCUUAGAGAUGAAUCUGUUUCCGUUCCACAUUUUUCUUGGCAUGUAAAUUCAUGUUUCUUUGCAUAUAUUGACUAUUCAUUAUUAUGUAUAAUGUGUUGAAGGACAGAUUUGAUAGCAUCAACCAUUAAGCUCAAGUCAUUUUGUUUAUUUAGUUUUUUCUUUUUUUGUAUCGAUGAGCUUUUUCAUAGUAUAAGAUUGAUAUUGUUUCACCAUUGAUGUUAGAGGCAAGCUUGAGACAUGUAAUCUGUUAUACCAUGACCAGAAACAUAUAAAUUUGGGCUACCUUGACCUUCUGUGUUGACUUGAAAAAGAAAAUGAAAAUAAACUAAGGGGCAUGAAUAUAUCUUUUUUGACACUGUUUUUCAAGGUCAAAAUCUUAGCAAUAACAUACAUGAAGGUAUAUUUGUUACGUGCAUAUAUUUACUUAUUAUUGAUUAUUAAAGUCUCAUUCUCACCCCCUUUUUUCAUCUUACCUAUGUAGCUGACAAAUUGGGGGUAAAGGAUAAGGUAUCAGAACAAAAGGAAAUUUGUUGUAAAUUGUAAUGUUGGUACAGGUACUCUGAACCCAUAAUUCUCAUGUCACUGAAAAAAUCGUAAUGGCAGGAUACGCAUCUCUAAGGCUUCUCAAUAGCUAAGGCAUGAAAAUAUGUAUUAGACUGUAGGAAACACCCUUCAACUAGUAUAUAUAGAGAAAAUAUGUCGCAUGGACUUGCUUACAGAAAGUGAACAAAGCUGGUCUGAACUUUCCAUGUUACUUUAUAAUAUCUUGAGAUUUAAGAUCACCACUUCACAACGCAAAUCAGUGGCUGUCCCACCCUGAACUGAUAUUUGUUUGCAGGAGCUGUCCGUAAUGCAAUAUGCCAGGUAUCGAUGGUUAAAUUGUAGGGGCAACUCUGUGGACUAGUCUACAUUAUCAAAAGUUCCACUGUCAAAUUCCUGUUUAUCUUCAUUACCUCCAGACACCAAAACAAGCAAGUUGAUCAGCUCAUGUGAUGCUGUUGCUUGACACAUCCUAAAGGAGAGUGAUGGUAAAAAUCGGGGACUAAUCUGACAAUACAGUAUAUUUAAUGGGUACAUUAAGCUAAAUAAUAUGCGACUUUUUUCCUUAAAAUGAUCAAAUCCACCACAAAUUGUCAAAGAUAAAAGGAAAUUUAACAUUUCAUUGUAUCAGCCAACUUAGAAACUUUUAUAGGUAAAAGCAUACCAUUUAAUGAAAUAACAUGGUCCCUUACCUCAGAUCUUUAUAUAUCUUAAUCAAUUGUCAAAGCUGGUUAAGCAAAUUUGUUAUGAAAAUUAUGAAACUAAAUACAUGUAGUUUAUAUAUUAUGCAGAUUUGAGGGUGAAUGUUGGAGGAUUAUAAUCUCGUACUUACAUCUGAAUAUGUGUUGGAUAUAGGUGUUAGAACAGAUAUUUUAAGAAAAAUGAAGAGUUUAUAUUAAUUAGCUUGUAUGUUGAAGUAAUUUGUGAACAAUGUAAAUCAUUUACAAUUAAAUUAUAUAUGAAACCAACAAUAAAAAGGGGACCAUAGGAAAUUAUAACAAGAAAUAAAAUUUCAAUUGAAUGAUGUGUUCCAAACUGUUACAGAAGCCACCAUCUCUACUAUUCCACUUAGGGGGACUUAUUAUCUGCUCCCCAAGGCAAAAAGGAUGGGAAAAAAGUGUAAAUGGUGUUAGUGAUGUUUGCUUUACAGAAAUGUAUGAGCUGAUUUGACAUAAUUCAAGCGAGAGGUAACAUCAAGAAAGAUAUCUUCGUUGCAGGGAAUUGUGAGACCGCCAGUAGGAUGACUAUAUCCGAACUCUUCUUGUGACAUGCCUAGCAAAUCUUGAAAUGAAGGCUGGUUCAAGAAUGAAAUUGGUAUCACAAACCUCUUCUGGUUUUCUCCAACAUAAACCGCAAAGUAGCCCUUGGGAACUUUCUUAGAGCUAAUGAUAUGAGGUAGGUGGAUAGCCAUUGCUGUUUUUGAUAGAUUUAUGCUUCUCAAAGGGAAGAAAAGGAAGAACUCAGAUAACUAGGAAAGCAAGCUUGAGAAUGUUGAAGGUAGGAGUUGGCAAUGAACUUAAUCCUACUUGUAUAUAUAGAUGUAUAGGGUAGAGAGGAAAUCAUAUUCUUCUAUUAUUAAGUGGGGGAUGUGCAAUGAGUGGUGAAGGUGCAAUUGCUGGGGUCUGAUCAGUAAUGAGAUGGGCAUGGGCUAAUGGGGACUCACAUGGUGUUGUCUUCCAAGGAAUUAUCAAGAAUUCCAUGUCAAAUACUUGAAUGAAUGGUUUUCCUACCUUGCCGGCAAAAUGAACCGACCAAGGACCUACUCAGAUUUGGAAGAUUUGGAUCCAUUAAUAUAGCUUCUUCCUAAUAGAAUAUUUUUAUUACUUCACUAAUGACAAUAGAGGCAACCUUUAGAGACAUACAAUCUGUCAUGCAAUGAUAGAGAACAAAUAACAUGGAUGACUUUGACCUCCUAUUUCAUACAGACUUCACAUAAAACUUGUAAGACAAACCCUUGUGAAGAGCGCCUGAAGUGUGUCCUACAGGCUACAAAAACUCCUCAUCUGAACCCAACUUGUUGCGUUUUAUCCAGGUUUGUUGUCUAUGCCGUGCUGCAAUCAAAUAGUUCCAUAGGGGUGAAGACAAUUAGUCCACAAUUCUGGUGGCAUGUUUGUUGUGUUCUUAGCAUAUUUUGACUAUUCGUUAUUAUAUUGGGGAGAACAGUUGUCAGGUCAAAGUCAGAAAGCUAUUCAAACUACAACAAAUUUCAAUGAAGGCUUCUUCUGCACAUGGGACUGUGAGACUACCCCUUGGAUGAUCAAAGCCAAACUCCUCUUCCAGCCUGAUUUAUCAAUUCUUAAAAUGAAGGGUGCUUCAAGAAUGAAAUUGGAUGGCCUUUGGUUAUUUAUGAAGCUGCUGUCACCUUUUGGAUAAGCUGCUUUGUGUGAACAAGUGCAGGUACUGACAAACACGCAAGUCUUAUGAACUGAGAAAUGUUGCAAGGGCAGAAUACGUUCAUCUCUAAGGCUCCUGAAUAGCUAAUGCAAAAAAUAUAUAUAUGAAAGAGUUGGUAGCCCUCUUACUCUUAUCUCAAAAUGGUCACAAAUCUAUUUGGUGUUACAUUCAGUCAUUUGUAUGUUUGUUUCCAUACAUGACUGGAGUUUAAAGUAGUUGAAAUUUUCUUGAAUUUAACCAAUGAUGAUUAAUCAUUGUUAGAAUUAUGUGACCUAAAUUCUAAGAGAUUGCUUGCAAGUCAAGUUAAACAAAAAUAUAUUUUCUUUCUAGAAGAUUUAGUAUUUAUUAGUAUAAUAUAUUUAGCAUUUAUUAGUAUAGUUUAUUUGACUUACUAAUUUAGCCUAUAAAUAGGCUCAUUUACAAUCUUAGAAUUAAAGAGACACCCAUUAGAUUAGAACUCAUAACACAUUCAGAGAAUUUUGUGUUUACGUUUGAGGGUUCUUUGUUUUUCGGGUUUUCGGGGUUUAGUUUUUAUCUCCAUCUUUUGUACUCUUCAUUCUUUUGCCAUUAUAGUAAAAUUAUCUUUGCCCGUGGUUUUUUAUCCUCUUUUGAGGGGUUUUUCCACGUUAAAUUUGUGUGUUCAUCUUCUCAAUUUCUUCUACUAUUUUUACUUGUUCGUUGCUUAAUCGGGAUGAUCCUAACAAGUGAUAUCAGAGCUAGUUUAACUUUCAUAGAUCAGCCCGGUCAGAGAUGGCAGCAACAAGGUUUGAAAUUGAGAAGUUCGAUGGUGAGACAAAUUUCAAUCUGUGGCAAGUUCGGAUGAUGGCAAUUCUAGUUCAAAAUGGCUUGAAAAAGGUUGUUACAGGGAAAAAGCCUGAGAAUCUAAAUCAAACAGAAUGGGAAGAGCUUGAUGAAAAGGCCUUGUCUGCAAUCCAGUUGUGCCUCGCGAAUACAGUAUUGCAGGAGGUAUUGAUGGAGAAGACCUCAUUCGCCUUGUGGAAAAGGUUAGAAACUCUUUAUGCGACUAAGUCUCUGGCUAACCGUUUAGUGUUGAAACAACAUCUAUUUACGUUUCGCAUGAACGAAGGUGAGCUUCUUAAAGAUCACAUCAGUCAAUUCAUUACUCUUUUAAAUGAUUUAAAGAACGUUGAGGUUCAUAUUGACGAUGAAGAUCAAGCUAUGCUAUUAUUGUGCUCUUUACCCUCUUAUACAAGUCUUUCAGGGAGACCCUGAUUUAUAGCAGAUAGACAAGCUUCCAUUUUGGUAGCAUCAAAGAAACGAGACAAAAGGUGUCGCUAUUACAAAAAGUUAGGUCACGUCAAAGCAGAUUGUUAUAAACUGCGAAAUAAAAGAGCUGCUGAGAGUAACGAGAAAGAUGUAGCUGGUGCUAAUUUGGUCAAUGAAGGCGGUGAUGAUUUCUUGUUAGUGUCAACGAGCGAUAACUCCAAGCUUACGUCUGAGUGGAUCCUAGAUUCAGGAUGUUCUUUCCACAUGUGUCCCAAUAGAGAAUGGUUCUCCACAUACAGUUCAGUUGAAGGUGGAGUUGUGCACAUGGGAAACGAUUCAUCUAGUAAAAUAAUCGGUAUUGGUACUGUUAAAAUUAGGAUACACGAUGGGACGAUUAGGACACUCUCAGAUGUUAGGUAUGUACCUGAUUUACGAAAGAAUCUCAUCUCCUUGAGUAUUUUAGACUUGAAAGGAUGCAGAAUCAACAUCGAGUCGAGCGACAUUAAAGUAUCUCGUGGAGCUCUCGUUUUGUUAAAAGGUAAAAGAACCGACAGUCUUUAUAUUCUGGAAGGUUCUACAGUGACCGGUGAAAUCAGACGUCCCUCGUCCGUUACGGAGUCAAAGUCAACUCAUUUGAAGUGGAGGCAACUUGGUCAUAGGAGGGAAAAAGGUAUGACUGUUUCGUUGAAGAGAGGUUCUCUUUUGGAUGCAGGUUUUGAAAAGUUAGGGCACUGUAUUCGUGAAAAUCAGACCCGGGUUAGUUUUGAUUUGGCAGUGCACAAGUCGAAGGCUAGAAGUCUUCCAGCUUCUAAGCAUAGAUUCGACUCAGUUAAUUCCCUGCAUAGUUCAAGAUAGGCCCAUGGCGGGUUUUGGCAAAGAUGGCAUUGAAAGAAUUCGUGUCAAGGUGGAGAUUGUUAGAAUUAUGUGACCCAAAUUCUAAGAGAUUGCUUGCAAGUCAAGUUAAACAAAAAUAUAUUUUCUUUCUAGAAGAUUUAGUAUUUAUUAGUAUAAUAUAUUUAGCAUUUAUUAGUAUAGUUUAUUUGACUUACUAAUUUAGCCUAUAAAUAGGCUCAUUUACAAUCUUAGAAUUAAAGAGACACCCAUUAGAUUAGAACUCAUAACACAUUCAGAGAAUUUUGUGUUUACGUUUGAGGGUUUUUUGUUUUUCGGGUUUUCGGGGUUUAGUUUUUAUCUCCAUCUUUUGUACUAUUCAUUCUUUUGCCAUUAUAGUAAAAUUAUCUUUGCCCGUGGUUUUUUAUCCUCUUUUGAGGGGUUUUUCCACGUUAAAUUUGUGUGUUCAUCUUCUCAAUUUCUUCUACUAUUUUUAUUUGUUCGUUGCUUAAUCGGGACGAUCCUAACAACCAUUAAUAUAUAAAACCAAAUAAGUAACAAGAAUGAAGUUUACUUUCUGAUAAUACUAAUCAAUAUGUAUCAUGAACUUAUAUCUCUUUUACUUUUCUCUUUUUCGUUAAAAUAUUUUGUCCUUAGCUUUGUUGUAUUAAUCGCUUAGUCCCCAGCCUCAAAUCUUUAUAUAUCUUAAUUCUUGGGCAAAUCUACAUUAAGAAAAUUACUUUGAAAAUUAUAACACGAAAUUGAUCGUUUAAUAAGCUACUAUCAUGGUAAAGAAUACUUGUAAUCUAUCUUAACUAGACAUUGUACUCAUGUUUGAAUAUGUGUUGGCCAUAUGAAAUCGAACAAAAAUGAAGGGUCCAACUCCAAAUAACUUAGCAUGUACUCACGUUUGAAAGUAAUUUUAGAACAAAGUAGAUUAUUUACAGUUUAUAUUAAAGAUGAAUUAACGCGAACAAGUAAAAAAUUCAGAAAGGAAAUAAAAUGACAAUUGAAUGAUGUGUUUUGAACUAUCAUUACUGAUGGAUAGGAGUGUUACACUAAUCACCAUCUCUAGUUCUCCACCCGGGGAGACUUAUAUCAGCUCUCCAAGGCAAAAAGGAUGGAGAAAAAAAUGUUUACAUGUAUUAGUGAUGUUUACUUUACAAAAUUGUAUCACCUGAUUUGUGUUAAUCAUCUCACAAUUACUACAAGCGAGAGGUAACUUCGAGAAAGGUGUCUUCAUUGCAGGGAAUCGUGAGACCACCAGUAGGAUGACUAUAUCCGAACUCUUCUUGUGACAUGCCUAGCAAAUCUUGAAAUGAAGGCUGGUUUAAGAACGACACCGGUAUCACGAACCUCUUCUGGUUUUCUCCAACAUAAACUGCAAAGUAGCCCUUGGGAACCUUCUUAGAGUUAAUGAUACGAGGCAGGCGGAUAGCCAUUGUUGUUUUCGAUAGAUGUAUUCUUCAAAAGGGAAGAGGAGGAAGAUCUCAGAGAACUUGGAAAUCUAAGGUAAAGAAGUUUAUUACUUGAAAAUGUGAAAGUAGGUAUUGCCAAUGAACUUAGUCUUACUUGUAUAUAUAGAUGCGAGUGGCCAAUGGAAAUGUUUCUCUAUUAAGUGGAGGAUGAGGAAUGAGUGGUGAAGGGACAAUUGCUGGGGUCUGAUCAUUAAUGAGAUAGACAUGGGUUAGUGGGGCAUCACAUGGUGUUGUUUUCCAAAGCAUUAUAAAGAAUUCCAUGGCAAAGACUUGAAAGAAUAGUUUGCCUACCCUUUCCGGCAGAACAAACCAACCAAGGUCCCACUUGAAUAUGGAAGAUUUGGAUCCUUAAAAACCUUCUUCACAGUAGAAGAUUCUUAUUACUUCACCAUUUACAUUAGAGGCAACCUUCAGAGACAAGCAAUCUGUCAUGCUGAAUUCACUCAAAAAAUAUGUCAUACAUGCUACAACUAGUCCCCAGGCUGUUGGUUAUGCUGUGCUGUAAUCAAAUAGUUCCACGGGGGAGAAAGACAACACUAAACCUGACAGCUGACGAAAUCUCCGGUAUGUGUUGCUAUAUAUGGAUAACCUUAGAGAUGAAUCUGUUUCCAUUCCACAUUUUUCUUGGCAUGUAAAUUCAUGGUUCUUUGCAUAUAUUGACUAUUCAUUAUUAUGUAUAAUGUGUUGAAGAACAGAUUUGAUAGCAUCAGCCAUUAAGCUCAAGUCACUUUGUUUAUUUAGUUUUUUUUUUGUAUCGAUGAGCUUUUUCAUAGUAUAAGAUUGGUAUUGUUUCACCAUUGAUGUUAGAGGCAAGCUUGAGACAUGUAAUCUGUUAUACUAUGACCAGAAACAUAUACAUUUGGGCUACCUUGACCUUCUAUGUUGACUUGACUAAGAAAAUGAAAAUAAACUAAGGGGCAUGAAUAUAUCUUUUUUGACACUGUUUUUCAAGGUCAAAAUCCUAGCUAUAACAUAUAUGAAGGUAUAUUUGUUACGUGCAUAUAUUUACUUAUUAUUGAUUAUUAAAGUCUCAUUCUCACCCCCUUUUUCAUCUUACCUAUGUGGCUGACAAAUUGGGGGUAAAGGGUAAGGUAUCAGAUCAAAAGGAAAUUUGUUGUAAAUUGUUAUGUUAGUGCAGGUACUCUGAAACCCAUAAUUCUCAUGUCACUGAAAAAAUCGUAAUGGCAGGAUAUGCACCUCUAAGGCUUCUCAAUAGCUAAGGCAUGAAAAUAUGUAUUAGACAGUAGGAAACUGUUGAAAUAUGUAUAUAUUUUAAAUUUAUUUAGGUAGAUAAGUUUUAUUCAUAUUCUAGGAAUAUUUUUAUUUUAUGUUUUAGUAGUUUAUUAGGACAAUGGAACUAUUUUCUUUCAUAUUUUAGUAGUUUAUUAGAAUAAGGGAACUAUUUUCCCAAUUAGGAUUAGAACUCUUUUCUCUAUUUAAGUUCAAUUCUUCAAUUAAUAAUAUAGAACAGUUUUAUUAAAAGCUCUCUUGAAAACUUUCAUGGCAUCUGAGCUAGGUUAAAAUCUCUAGUAACAUCAUGGUUAAAACAACCUUCACUAGAGAAGAAAAAACCUUGGUGCGAUUACUGCAAAAAAUAUUGGCACACUCGAGAAACGUGUUGGAAGCUCCAUGGGAAAUCGACAAAUGGAAGGAAAAAGAGUGGCAAUGGUCGUGGUUCACAAUUAGGGGAUAGCAGAGCUUUCCAAACAACUAAUGGAAAUUAUAAGGGCUAAAGUUCUCUGGAAGGGUCUCCAUUCACUAAGGAACAAUUAGAGCAUCUACACAAGUUUUUUCAAUCACCACAAUUUCGGAUGAAUUCUUCAAUUCCUAACUCAUCCAAUAAUCCUUCUUCCUCUGUUGCCCAAUCAGGUACUGAUUUUUCUAUUUUUUUCAGUGUCAAGCCUUGUAAAACAAACACAUGGAUCAUUGAUUCUGGAGCUAGUGAUCACAUGACUAGUAGUUAUUUUCUUUUUUCAACUUACAUACCUUGCGCAGGAAACAAAAAGAUCAAAGUAGCAGAUGGGUCCUUCUUGGCAAUAGCCGGGAAAGGCACUGUCAAAAUUUCAUCUUCCUUGGUUUUACAUGAUGUUUUACAUGUGCCAAAUCUAGCUUGUAAUCUCAUAUUGGUCAGUAAAUUAUCCCAGUCCUCAAAUUGUCAUGUUAUAUUUGACUCCUCUAUGUGUAAGUUUCAGGACAUGGUCUCGGGGAGGAUGAUUGGCAAUGCUAAAGAAUUUGGUGGAAUUUACUUUCUUGAAGAUGACCAUCUAAGUCAACCAAUAACUACUUUAUGUUUAAAUUCUGUUUCUGAUAAGGUUAUGAUUUGGCAUUAUAGGCUUGGACAUCCUAAUUUUUACUAUUUAAGAUAUUUGUUACCUAAUCUUUUUAAAAAUAAAAGUCAUUCUUCAUAUCAUUGUGAAUUUUGUGAAUUGCUAACAUCAUCGGUCAUUCUUUCCACUUCAAAAAUAUAAAGCCUCCAAACUUUUUUCGUUAAUUCAUAGUGAUGUUUGGGGACCUUCAAGAGUCUCGACCUUUUCAGGAAAACGUUGGUUUGUCACUUUUAUUGAUGAUCAUACUCGACUUUGUUGGGUGUUUUUAUUAAAAGAUAAGUCUGAAGUUAAAAAUGUGUUUCAAUCUUUUUAUACUAUGGUGAAAACACAAUUUGGUGUGAAAAUAGAAGUAUUUCGGACUGAUAAUGGUGGAGAACUUUUUAGCGACCAAUUAGGUGUUUUCUUAACCAAACAUGGAAUAGUCCACCAAAGUUCUUGUACAAAUACACCAUAGCAAAAUGGGAUUGCAGAAAGAAAAAACCGACAUCUUUUGGAAGUAACUAGAGCCUUGAUGUUCACUAGUCAGGUACCACGUUAUCUUUGGAGCGAAGCCUUGUUAACAGCUACAUAUCUUUUAAUAGAAUGCCCAGUAAAACUCUAAACAAUAGAACUCCUUUUAGUCUCUUUAAAGAUAAUUUUCCUAACUCUAAAUUGAUCACAGAUUUAUCCCUCCGAGUUUUUGGGUGUAGUGUUUUUGUUCAUCUUCACAACCAAGGUAAACUAGAUCCUAGAGCAAAAAAAUGUGUCUUUGUUGGUUAUGCUUCUACUAAAAAGGGUUACAAAUGUUAUGAUCCAAUUGAUAGGAAGAUUAUUAUUACCAUGGAUGUCACAUUUGUUGAAACACAAUCUUAUUUUGAUUCUAAUCUUCAGGGAGGGAAUUAUACUAAGGAAGAUUCUAUAAUUGAUCAAGAAAAGAUUAGGAAUAUACAACAUAGGGAUUCUAAUAAUGGGGAAGGCGAAUUUAUAAUUAACACAGAAAUUAAUGAUGUUAAUGUUAAUGAAAAGGAGGAUGAAGGUGUAGAGUCUAAUCAUGAGAAUAAAAAACAAACAAAGGAGUUAAUUGUUUAUUCAAGAAGAAAUCGAAAUCAAGAAAGUGGAAUCCACUAGAUUCAUCACCAAGAAUCCGACCCGCAAGAUCCUGUCAAAAGUCCAGGUAAAACUCAUAAUCCAGUUAAUGAAUUUUCUGAUUUAAAUAUUUCAAUUGCCAAAAGAAAAGGUGUUAGAAAUAUUGUCAAAUAUCCCAUGUCUAACUUUGUAUCCUAUAAAGCCUUGUCUUCGACAUUCUCAACCUUUGUUUCGUGUCUCGAUACUGUACAAAUACCCAAAAAUGUGAAAGAUGCUUUACAGGUUCCUGAGUGGAAGGAGGCUAUUUUAGAAGAGAUGCGCGCUUUUGAAAAAAUAGGUACAUGGGAAACAAUGGAAUUACCUGUAGGGAAAAAAACAAUGGGCUGUAAAUGGGUGUUCACAACCAAAUUCAAACCAGAUGGAUCUUUAGAUAGAUACAAAGCCCGGUUGGUGGCUAAAGGGUACACUCAAACAUAUAUGAUAGAUUAUCUUGAAACGUUUGCUCCAGUGGCCAAAUUAAAUUCCGUUAGAGUUCUUUUAUCAAUUGCUGUUAAUCUUAAUUGGUCUUUAUAGCAGUUAGAUGUGAAGAAUGCUUUCCUAAAUGGAAAACUUGAAGAAGAAGUUUACAUAGAUCCUCCUCCAGGUUUUGAAGAAAAAUUUGGAACUCGAGUAUGUAAACUCAAGAAAUAUUUGUAUGGUCUGAAGCAGUCUCCUUGAGCUUGGUUUGAACUAUUCACUCAAGUUGUUAAAAAACAAGGUUACUCACAAGGGCAAGCUGAUCACACAAUGUUUUAUCGACAUUCACAAAAAGGUAGAAUAGUAGUUAUUAUAGUUUAUGUCGAUGGUAUCAUUCUUACAGGAGAUGAUGUGGAUGAAAUAAGGCGUCUCAAGGAGCAUCUAGCAUUGCAGUUUGAGAUUAAAGACUUGGGUCCUUUGAAAUACUUUCUUGGAAUGGAAGUUGCUCGAUCAAAGAAGGGUCUUGUGGUCUCUCAGAAAAAAUAUGUGAUUGAUCUUUUAAAAGAGGCUGGGAUGAGUGGUUGCCGCCCAGCUGACACACCAAUUGAUCCAAAUGUAAAAUUCGAAAAUAAAGAAGGUCGAUUAGUUGAUAAAGGGCAGUACCAAAGAUUAGUUGGUAAGUUAAUUUACUUAUCACAUACAAGGCCAGACAUUGCUUUUGCAGUGAGUUUAGUGAGUCAAUUUAUGCACUCCCCAAUGGAGGAACAUGAAGAAGCAGUGUUUCGAAUUCUAAGAUACUUAAAGAGUUCACCGGGAAAGGGCUUAUUCUUCAAGAAAUCCGAACAAAGAGGAAUUGAAGCUUAUACAGAUGCAGAUUGGGCAGGCUCAAUAAUAGAUAGAAGAUCUACAUCAGGAUACUAUACAGGGGAAACCUUGUGACUUGGUGAAGCAAAAAACAAAGUGUUGUAGUAAGAAGUAGUGCAGAGGCUGAGUUUAGAUCAAUGGCUCAAGGAAUUUGUGAAAUGAUGUGGUUAAAAAGAAUUAUGGAAGAGCUGAGGAAACCAAUAACUUCACCAAUGAAGUUGUACUGUGAUAGCAAAGCUGCCAUUAGUAUUGCUCACAACCCAGUCCAACAUGAUAGAACUAAACAUGUUGAGAUUGAUAGACACUUCAUCAAUGAGAAGAUUGAAGAAGGCCAAGUGUGCAUGCCGUUUGUUCCUUCAAAACAACAGAUUGCUGACAUACUCACCAAAGGACUCUCUAAGACAAACUUUGAUUUUCUUGUAAGCAAGUUGGGCAUGAUUGAUAUAUAUGCACCAACUUGAGGGAGGGUGUUGAAAUAUAUAUAUAUUUUAAAUUUAUUUAGGUAGAUAAAUCUUAUUUAGGUAGAUAAGUUUUAUUCAUAUUCUAGGAAUAUUUUUAUUUUAUGUUUUAGUAGUUUAUUAGGACAAGGGAACUAUUUUCUUUUAUAUUUUAGUAGUUUAUUAGAAUAAGGGAACUAUUUUCCCAAUUAGGAUUAGAACUCUUUUCUCUAUUUAAGUUCAAUUCUUCAAUUAAUAAUAUAGAACAGUUUUAUUAAAAGCUCUCUUGAAAAAUUUCAGAAACACCCUUUCAACUAGUAUAAAGAGAGAAAAUAUGUCGCAUGGACUUGCCUGCCAGAAUGUGAACAAAGCUGGUCUGAACUUUCCAUGUUACUUUAUAUUAUCUUGAGAUUUAAUAUCACCACUUCACAACGCAAAUCAGUGGCUAUCCCACCCUGAACUGAUAUUUGUUUGCAGGAGCUGUCCGUAAUGCAAUAUGCCAGGUAUCGAUGGUUAAAUUGUAGGGGCAACUCUGUGGACUAGUCUAACAUUAUCAAAAGUUCCACUGUCAAAUUUCCUGGUUAUCUUCAUUACCUCCAGACACCAAAACAAGCAAGUUGAUCAGCUCAUGUGAUGCUGUUGCUUGACAUAUCCUAAAGGAGAGUGAUGGUCAAAACCGGGGACUAAUCUGACAAUACAGUAUACUUAAUGGGUACAUUAAGCUAAAUAAUAAGCGAUUUUUUCCUUAGAAUGACCAAAUCCACCUCAAAUGGACAAAGAUAAAAGAAAAUAUAACAUUUCAUUGUAUCAGCCAACUUAGAAACUUUUAUAGGUAAAGGCAUACCAUUUAAUCAAAUGACUUGGUCCCAUACCUCAGAUCUUUAUCUAUCUUAAUCCAUUGUCAAAGCUGCUUAAGGAAUUUUUUUACGUGAAUUAUGAAACUAUGUACAUGUAGUUUAUAUUAUGCAUAUUUGAGGGUGAAUGUUGGAGGAUUAUACUCUUGUACUUACAUCUGAAUAUGUGUUGGCUAUAGGUGUUAGAACAGAUAUUUUAAGAAAAAUGAAGUGUUUAUAUAACUUGGCUUGUAUGUUGAAGUAAUUUGUGAACAAUGUAAAUCAUUUACAGUUAAAUUAUAUAUGAAACCAACAAUAACAAUGGGACCACAGGAAAUUAUAAGAAGAAAUAAAAUUUCAAUUGAAUGAUGUGUUCCAAACUGUUACAGAAGCCACCAUCUCUAAUAUUCCACUCAGGGAGACUUAUCAUCUGCUCCCCGAGGCAAAAAGGAUGGGAAAAAAGUGUAAAUGGUGUUAGUGAUGUUUGCUUUACAGAAAUGUAUGAGCUGAUUUGUCUUACUUCAAGCGAGAGGUAACAUCGAGAAAGAUGUCUUCGUUGCAGGGAAUUGUGAGACCGCCAGUAGGAUGACUAUAUCCGAACUCUUCUUGUGACAUGCCUAGCAAAUCUUGAAAUGAAGGCUGGUUCAAGAAUGAAACUGGUAUCACAAACCUCUUCUGGUUUUCUCCAACAUAAACCGCAAAGUAGCCCUUGGGAACUUUCUUAGAGCUAAUGAUACGAGGUAGGUGGAUAGUCAUUGUUGUUUUUGAUAGAUGUAUGCUUCUCAAAGGGAAGAAAAGGAAGAACUCAGAUAACUAGGAAAGCACGCUUGAGAAUGUUGAAGGUAGGAGUUGGCAAUGAACUUAAUCCUACUUGUAUAUAAAGAUGUAUAGGGUAGAGAGGAAAUCAUGUUCAUCUAUUAUUAAGUGGGGAAUGUGCAAUGAGUGGUGAAGGUGCAAUUGCUGGGGUCUGAUCAGUAAUGUGAUAGACGUGGGCUAAUGGGGACUCACUUGGUGUUGUCUUCCAAAGUAUUAUCAAGAAUUCCAUGUCAAAUACUUGAAAGACUGGUUUUCCUACCUUACCGGCAAAAUGAACCGCCUAAGGACCUACUCAGAUAUGGAAGAUUUGGAUCCAUUAAUAGCUUCUUCCUAGUAGAAGAUUUUUAUUACUUCACUAAUGAAAAUAGAGGCAACCUUUAGAGACAUACAAUCUGUCAUGCAAUGAUAGGGAACAAAUAACAUGGAUGACUUUGACCUCCUAUUUCAUACAGACUUCACAUAAAGCUUGUAAGACAAACCCUUGUGAAGAGCGCCUGAAGUGUGUCCUACAGGCUACAAAAACUCCUCAUCUGAACCCAACUUGUUGCGUUUUAUCCAGGUUUGUUGUCUAUGCCGUGCUGCAAUCAAAUAGUUCCAUAGGGGUGAAGACAAUUAGUCCACAUUUCUGGUGGCAUGUUUGUUGUGUUCUUAGCAUAUUUUGACUGUUCGUUAUUAUAUUGGGGAGAACAGAUGUCAUGUCAAAGUCAGAAAGCUAUUCAAACUACAACAAAUUUCAAUGAAGGCUUCUUCUGCACAUGGGACUGUGAGACUACCCCUUAGAUGAUCAAAGCCAAACUCCUCUUCCAGCCUGAUUUAUCAAUUCUUAAAAUGAAGGGUGCUUCAAGAAUGAAAUUGGAUGGCCUUUGGUUAUUUAUGAAGCUGCUGUCACCUUUUGGAUAAGCUGCUUUGUGUGAACAAGUGCAGGUACUGACAAACACGCAAGUCUUAUGAACUGAGAAAUGUUGCAAGGGCAGAAUACGUUCAUCUCUAAGGCUCCUGAAUAGCUAAUGCAAAAAAUAUAUAUAUGAAAGAGUUGGUAGCCCUCUUACUCUUAUCUCAAAAUGGUCAAAAAUCUAUUUGAUGUGAC
rnacentral:lncRNA from 1 species